GACGAACGCUGGCGGCGUGCUUAACACAUGCAAGUCGAACGGAAAGGCCCUGCUUUUGUGGGGUGCUCGAGUGGCGAACGGGUGAGUAACACGUGAGUAACCUGCCCUUGACUUUGGGAUAACUUCAGGAAACUGGGGCUAAUACCGGAUAGGAGCUCCUGCUGCAUGGUGGGGGUUGGAAAGUUUCGGCGGUUGGGGAUGGACUCGCGGCUUAUCAGCUUGUUGGUGGGGUAGUGGCUUACCAAGGCUUUGACGGGUAGCCGGCCUGAGAGGGUGACCGGCCACAUUGGGACUGAGAUACGGCCCAGACUCCUACGGGAGGCAGCAGUGGGGAAUAUUGCACAAUGGGCGGAAGCCUGAUGCAGCAACGCGGCUUGCGGGAUGACGGCCUUCGGGUUGUAAACCGCUUUCGCCUGUGACGAAGCGUGAGUGACGGUAUGGGUAAAGAAGCACCGGCUAACUACGUG
rnacentral:rRNA from 1 species